UACAGAGGUCCCAAGCGUUACUGAGAAUCACUGGGUUUAAAGGGUGCGUAGGUGGUCCGUUAAGUCAAUUGUGAAAUCCCCGGGCUCAACCCGGGAACUGCUUCUGAUACUGGCGGACUUGAGGCCAGUAGGGGUCACUAGAACUGACGGUGGAGCGGUGAAAUGCGUAGAUAUCGUCAGGAAUGCCGGUGGUGAAGACGGGUGACUGGGCUGGUUCUGACACUGAGGCACGAAAGCGUGGGGAGCGAACAGG
rnacentral:rRNA from 1 species